GACGAACGCUGGCGGCGUGCUUAACACAUGCAAGUCGAACGGAAAGGCCCUGCUUUUGCGGGGUGCUCGAGUGGCGAACGGGUGAGUAACACGUGAGUAACAUGCCCUUGACUUUGGGAUAACUUCAGGAAACUGGGGCUAAUAUCGGAUAGGAGCUCCUGCUGCAUGGGGGGGGUUGGAAAGUUUCGGCGGUUGGGGAUGGACUCGCGGCUUAUCAGCUGGUUGGGCGGGUAGUGGCGUACCAAGGCUUUGACGGGUAGCCGGCCUGAGAGGGUGACCAGCCACAUUGGGCCUGCGAUACGCACCAGACUCCUACCGGAGGCAGCAGUGGAGAAUAUUGCACAGUGGGCGGAAGCCUGAUGCAGCAGCCCCGCGUGCGGGAAGCCGUCCUUCGGGUUGUAAACCACUUUCGACUGUGACGAAGCGUGAGUGGCGGUAAUGGGUAAGAAAGCACCGGCUAACUACGUG
rnacentral:rRNA from 1 species